rnacentral:rRNA from 1 species
GACGAACGCUGGCGGCGUGCUUAACACAUGCAAGUCGAACGAAGAGCGAUGGAAGCUUGCUUCUAUCAAUCUUAGUGGCGAACGGGUGAGUAACGCGUAAUCAACCUGCCCUUCAGAGGGGGACAACAGUUGGAAACGACUGCUAAUACCGCAUACGAUCUAACCUCGGCAUCGAGGAUAGAUGAAAGGUGGCCUCUACAUGUAAGCUAUCACUGAAGGAGGGGAUUGCGUCUGAUUAGCUAGGUGGAGGGGUAACGGCCCACCAAGGCGAUGAUCAGUAGCCGGUCUGAGAGGAUGAACGGCCACAUUGGGACUGAGACACGGCCCAGACUCCUACGGGAGGCAGCAGGGGGGAAUCUUCCGCAAUAGACGAAAGUCUGACGGAGCAACGCCGCGUGAGUGAUGACGGCCUUCGGGUUGUAAAGCUCUGUUAAUCGGGACGAAAGGCCUUCUUGCGAAUAGUGAGAAGGAUUGACGGUACCGUAAUAGAAAGCCACGGCUAACUACGUG